UACAGAGGGUGCAAGCGUUGUUCGGAAUUAUUGGGCGUAAAGCGCGUGUAGGCGGCUUUGUAAGUCGAAUGUGAAAGCCCUCGGCUUAACCGAGGAAGUGCAUUCGAAUACUGCCGAGCUUGAGUACCGGAGAGGAAGGUGGGAACACCCGGUGUAGAGGUGAAAAUUCGUAGAUAUCGGGUAGAACACCAAGUGGCGAAGGCGACCUCUGGACGGAUACUGACGCUGAGGAGCGAAAGCGUGGGGAGCAACAGGG
rnacentral:rRNA from 1 species